rnacentral:lncRNA from 1 species
AAUGAGAAUGAGAUUGAUUAAAGAGUAAAUUAGAGACAUUGACAUUUGAGUAUAAUCAUUUGUGCUAAAUGUUGUUAUUUAUUUGCUAGUAAACUUACUAAGCUUAAUGCUUACUUCUUUUAUUUUUCUUUCUCUUAUAGUAUUGCAAAGCUGCUUCAGGGAUCCUAAAGACGUCAGAGAUCAUCCACACUAUCAACCACAACAACUCGGUAUCUUAUGAUAAAUUAUAUUCGAGUUAUGGCAUGUAUAGGGAUUUAGUUAUUUUGCAUGUUAGUAAUUAUGAUUUUUCUAAAUAAUGAUGUGUAAGUAUUUGGUGAUGAAUGGUUAUUAAAAUGGUUAAGUAUGAAGGUGUUUGUUGUUAUAAAAGUUUAGGUGAUAAAUUAUGCAUGGAAAUUAUGAAAGGGUAAAAUUUUGCAAAGAAACAGAAUUCAGGCAGCACAGUGACGUGACUUUGAAAAAUCACCUAGGAUAGUAUAUAAUGAGUUAGAAGGUGAAUGAUAUAUAGAUUGAAAGCCUAUUGAGUCUAUUUUCAUGUAAAAGUAACGGUUUAACAAAAGAGUUUUAUAUUUUGAGAUAUGUGAAUUUUUGUGAGACAGGGUCAGAUCUGUUUUUGGAGUCCCCUGUUUUGAGUUUAGAAAAUCAUUAAAAAUUGUAAAAAAAUGGUUAUGAGAUAUAGUUUAUAUGUCUAGAUUCCUUAUUGAGUAUUUUUUUUGUAGAAACAACUAAUAACUUCAUAUGAAAAUCCUACAGUGAGAAAACUUAUUUUUAGUGGCAAGAGGUCAGGACAGUUAAGUGGUGAAACAGGGGAGACUUUAACUAAUAAACUGUACUAAUUGGCUCAACCAAAAAUUCUAAAAAUUUUAUGGUAGGAAGAUAUAUGAGUCUAGUUUCAGGGAAAAUUUAUGGAAUUAAAUUUUGAGCCCUGUAGCUCGAGUUAUAAUUAAUUUAGUAACUGCUGCGCGAUUGGACAGAUUUGUCGUAAAUAGCGAAAUUAAUUUUCAAAACAAGUCUUUAUGCUCCGAAUUAGUAAGAUAAGUUAAGUAAUGCCUCGUGCUCGACUCCGAAAAUGGUCUCGGGUAAGGGUUGUUACAUUUUGUUGGUACCAUAGCAGGUUUAGUCGGUUCUCGAAAAUACGCAGUAUGAAUAAGAGUAUACCUAUACAUGCCAUACUUAUAUUUUUUGAUAGUGUGACGACUCCUGACGAUUUUAAAAUGUUUUCUUUUAUAGUUAUGGAUCCUGAAUGAGCUGGUACAGAUGAAGUAGAGAGUAAUGUGCCUGCUCCCGCAGAAGGGACGGCGCCACCAGAUGUUAAUGUUAGUGAAAGGCCUACAUCAGUUAGACAGGGAGGAGGAGCUAGAGAAGCCUUCUUCCAAGCCAUGAAUGAUUGGUUUGCCGAGUUCGUUCGUACGAAUCUGGCUNNNNNNNNNNNNNNNNNNNNNNNNNNNNNNNNNNNNNNNNNNNNNNNNNNNNNNNNNNNNNNNNNNNNNNNNNNNNNNNNNNNNNNNNNNNNNNNNNNNNCAUGAUUCACAGGCUCCCUAUGUAGCUUCCCCAGCUGCAGGUAUAGUUAUCAGGGAGAGACCACCUGUUGAUAAGAUUAGGAAGCAAGGGGCUGAAGAAUUUCGGGCUACCAAAGAUGAUGCAGAAAAAGCAGAAUUCUGGCUUGAGAAUACCAUCAGGGUUUUUGAAGAAUUAUCUUGUACACCGGAAGAAUGUAUGAAAUGUGUUGUUUCACUUCUUCGAGAUUCAGCCUACCAUUGGUGGAAGACCCUUGUUUCAGUAGUACCGAGUGAGAGGGUUACUUGGGAUUUCUUUCAAGAGGAGUUCCGGAAGAAGUAUAUCAGCCAGAGAUUUAUAGAUCAAAAAAGGAAAGAGUUUCUUGGGCUAAAACAAGGUAAGAUGUCCGUGAUUGAAUAUGAACGCGAAUUUGUCAGACUUAGUAAGUAUGCCCGGGAAUUUGUGUCCACUGAAGCUAACAUGUGCAAGAGAUUUGAAGAAGAGCUUAAGGAUGAUAUUCGAUUAGCAGUGGGUGUCUUGGAAAUUAAAGAGUUUGUUGUUUUGGUUGAGAGAGCUUGUAAAGCAGAAGAUUUGUUGAAAUAAAAAGAGAAAGGAAAACCUGAAGUUGAAGUACAAGAUACAAAGAAGAGGCAAAUGAGUAAAUCAUUUCAGUCUACGUCUAAGAGGCCUAAAGAGCUCUCUAGUGGAUCACAGUUUCCAGCUAGAUAUCCUAACCAAAGUUGGGGCAGAAGAUUCGAGGGUUCUAGAGCUCAAAUCACUAUAGUUGCAAGCACAGGCAGUAAUGUCCGCAAUGUGGGAGACGCCACCCCGGAGAGUGUAGACUAGGUGAAAAUGUUUAUUUUAGAUGUGGAGCGUCAGAUAACUUUAUUUGGGAUUGUCCUGAAACAACUAAAAGAGAAGAGAUAACGAGUGCGAGAUCAAGAAAUGCUCCUACCAGAGGUAGACCACAGAGAAACCCAGGAGUGGGAGCGAGUAACAGGGGUGCAUCCAGAGAUUCAGCAGUUAGAUCAGAUGUUAGAGCACCCGCAAGAACAUAUGCUAUUCGAGCUCGUGAGGAGGCGUCCUCUCCUGAUGUAAUUGCGGGUACAUUUUCUCUCUAUGACACUAAUGUUAUUGCAUUAAUUGAUCCUGGCUCUACACAUUCAUACAUAUACACAAAAUUAGUAUUUGUUAAAAAUUUAUCUGUUUAACCUACUGAAUUUGUGGUUAAAGUCUCGAACCCUCUGGGCCAGUUUGUGAUGGUGGAUAAAGUUUGUAAAACUUGUCCACUGAUGGUAAAAGGUAUUUGUUUCCCGGUUGACUUGAUGUUAUUGUCUUUUGAUGAGUUUGAUGUGAUAUUGGGCAUGGAUUGGUUAACUCAGCAUGAUGCAGUAGUAAACUGUAAACAGAAAUAUGUUGUGUUGAAGUGCCAAUAUAGAGAAUUACUUCGGCUUUAGAUCUGAUCAGACAGAGGAGUUAUCUGAUGUGAUUUUAGUGAUGUCAGCUCAAAGGUGUGUCAGAAAAGGGUACGAUGUUUAUUUGGCAUAUGUGUUGGAUACAAAGGUGUUGGAUAAUUGGGGUAGUUCCUGGAAUCAAAUCUAUAGAAAAUUCCACUUCUCUUUCUGGUGGCAACCUCGGUAACUCCUCUGGAAACACAUCAGAAAAUUCACAUACAACUAGCACUGCCUGUAUCUUUGACUCAGAUACCUUAGUAUCCAACACAUAUGCCAAAUAAACAUCGUACCCUUUUCUGACACACCUUUGAGCUGACAUCACUGAAAUCACAUCAGAUAACUCCUUUGUCUGAUCAGAUCUAAAGUCGAAGUAAUUCUCUAUAUUGGCACUUCAACACAACAUAUUUCUGUUUACAGUUUACUACUGCAUCAUGCUGAGUUAACCAAUCCAUGCCCAAUAUCACAUCAAACUCAUCAAAAGACAAUAACAUCAAGUCAACCGGGAAACAAAUACCUUUUACCAUCAGUGGACAAGUUUUACAAACUUUAUCCACCAUCACAAACUGGCCCAGAGGGUUCGAGACUUUAACCACAAAUUCAGUAGGUUAAACAGAUAAAUUUUUAACAAAUACUAAUUUUGUGUGUAUGUAUGAAUGUGUAGAGCCAGGAUCAAUUAAUGCAAUAACAUUAGUGUCAUAGAGAGAAAAUGUACCCGCAAUUACAUCAGGAGAGGACGCCUCCUCACGAGCUCGAAUAGCAUAUGUUCUUGCGGGUGCUCUAACAUCUGAUCUAACUGCUGAAUCUCUGGAUGCACCCCUGUUACUCGCUCCCACUCCUGGGUUUCUCUGUGGUCUACCUCUGGUAGGAGCAUUUCUUGAUCUCGCACUCGUUAUCUCUUCUCUUUUAGUUGUUUCAGGACAAUCCCAAAUAAAGUUAUCUGACGCUCCACAUCUAAAAUAAACAUUUUCACCUAGUCUACACUCUCCGGGGUGGCGUCUCCCACAUUGCGGACAUUACUGCCUGUGCUUGCAACUAUAGUGAUUUGAGCUCUAGAACCCUCGAAUCUUCUGCCCCAACUUUGGUUAGGAUAUCUAGCUGGAAACUGUGAUCCACUAGAGAGCUCUUUAGGCCUCUUAGACGUAGACUGAAAUGAUUUACUCAUUUGCCUCUUCUUUGUAUCUUGUACUUCAACUUCAGGUUUUCCUUUCUCUUUUUAUUUCAACAAAUCUUCUGCUUUACAAGCUCUCUCAACCAAAACAACAAACUCUUUAAUUUCCAAGACACCCACUGCUAAUCGAAUAUCAUCCUUAAGCUCUUCUUCAAAUCUCUUGCACAUGUUAGCUUCAGUGGACACAAAUUCCCGGGCAUACUUACUAAGUCUGACAAAUUCGCGUUCAUAUUCAAUCACGGACAUCUUACCUUGUUUUAGCCCAAGAAACUCUUUCCUUUUUUGAUCUAUAAAUCUCUGGCUGAUAUACUUCUUCCGGAACUCCUCUUGAAAGAAAUCCCAAGUAACCCUCUCACUCGGUACUACUGAAACAAGGGUCUUCCACCAAUGGUAGGCUGAAUCUCGAAGAAGUGAAACAACACAUUUCAUACAUUCUUCCGGUGUACAAGAUAAUUCUUCAAAAACCCUGAUGGUAUUCUCAAGCCAGAAUUCUGCUUUUUCUGCAUCAUCUUUGGUAGCCCGAAAUUCUUCAGCCCCUUGCUUCCUAAUCUUAUCAACAGGUGGUCUCUCCCUGAUAACUAUACCUGCAGCUGGGGAAGCUACAUAGGGAGCCUGUGAAUCAUGAGGGGGUGGAGAUCUCACAGCCAGAUUCGUACGAACGAACUCGGCAAACCAAUCAUUCAUGGCUUGGAAGAAGGCUUCUCUAGCUCCUCCUCCCUGUCUAACUGAUGUAGGCCUUUCACUAACAUUAACAUCUGGUGGCGCCGUCCCUUCUGCGGGAGCAGGCACAUUACUCUCUACUUCAUCUGUACCAGCUCAUUCAGGAUCCAUAACUAUAAAAGAAAACAUUUUAAAAUCGUCAGGAGUCGUCACACUAUCAAAAAAUAUAAGUAUGACAUGUAUAGGUAUACUCUUAUUCAUACUGCGUAUUUUCGAGAACCGACUAAACCUGCUAUGGUACCAACAAAAUGUAACAACCCUUACCCGAGACCAUUUUCGGAGUCGAGCACGAGGCAUUACUUAACUUAUCUUACUAAUUCGGAGCAUAAAGACUUGUUUUGAAAAUUAAUUUCGCUAUUUACGACAAAUCUGUCCAAUCGCGCAGCAGUUACUAAAUUAAUUAUAACUCGAGCUACAGGGCUCAAAAUUUAAUUCCAUAAAUUUUCCCUGAAACUAGACUCAUAUAUAUUCCUACCAUAAAAUUUUUAGGAUUUUUGGUUGAGCCAAUUAGUACAGUUUAUUAGUUAAAAUCUCCCAUGUUUCACCACUUAACUGUCCUGACCUCUUGCCACUAAAAAUAAGUUUUCUCACUGUAGGAUUUUCAUAUGAAGUUAUUAGUUGUUUCUACAAAAAAAUAUACUCAAUAAGGAAUCUAGACAUAUAAACUAUAUCUCAUAACCAUUUUUUUACAAUUUUUAAUGAUUUUCUAAACUCAAAACAGGGGACUCCAAAAACAGAUCUGACCCUGUCUCACAAAAAUUCACAUAUCUCAAAAUAUAAAUCUCUUUUGUUAAAUCGUUACUUUUACAUGAAAAUAGACUCAAUAAGCUUUCAAUCUAUAUAUCAUUCACCUUCUAACUCAUUAUAUACUAUCCUAGGUGAUUUUUCAAAGUCACGUCACUGUGCUGCCUGAAUUAUGUUUCUUUGCAAAAUUUUACCCUUUCAUAAUUUCCAUGCAUAAUUUAUCACCUAAACUUUUAUAACAACAAACACCUUCAUACUUAACCAUUUUAAUAACCAUUCAUCAUCAAAUACUUACACAUCAUUCUUUAGAAAAAUCAUAAUUACUAACAUGCAAAAUAACUAAAUCCCUAUACAUGCCAUAACUCGAAUAUAAUUUAUCAUAAGAUACCGAGUUGUUGUGGUUGAUAGUGUGGAUGAUCUCUGACGUCUUUAGGAUCCCUGAAGCAGCUUUGCAAUACUAUAAGAGAAAGAAAAAUAAAAGAAGUAAGCAUUAAGCUUAGUAAGUUUACUAGCAAAUAAAUAACAGCAUUUAGCACAAAUGAUUAUACUCAAAUGUCAAGGUCUCUAAUUUACUCUUUAAUCAAUCUCAUUCUCAUUCUCCUGCUUGUUUACUUAGUUAACUCGUGAUCAUAACUUACUCUUCCCUUGCUGAAACAUUGAGUAUCAAUUGAUAAUAUAAUAAGUUCUUAACUCUUAUAACUUACCUGAGCUUGCCAUUUAUGCUUUUAACUGAACUUUCAUGAACAUGAUUCGUUUAUUAGCCCGUUGAGCUACAUUAGAAUAAUAAGGAUACUCGGGUAUCUUAUGAUAAUAACAUGCCAAGGCCAUGUCCUAGACAUGGUCUUACAUGGGACCUCUCUACCCAAUGUCAUGACAUUCGUAUCCAGUACCAUCCUUAUGUAUCAACGGGACUUUUUAAUUUUAAUUCUCUAUCAUUUCAUGCUUGGAUCAUCAUCAAAUAAAUUCAUGAAAUAAAUUCAUAGUUGCUGGAAAAUAACAACAUUAAUAAUAAUUAUUGAAAUAUUGCAUUUAUUUACUGUAAACUUACCUCAGUACCAAAUAUAGCCUAAUUCACCAACUUAGUCUUCAACUUUAUUCUUCCCUUUGUCUAACCUCGAGUUUCGUUCUUCUUGAUCUAAAAUAGCAAAUUUAACUCAUUUAAUACUCACAUUUAUCAAAACAACCCUCGACUCUAGCUUUUCAAAAUUAUGAUUUUGCCCCUAAACUUUUACAUAAUUACAUUUUUGCCCCAAGGCUCGGAAAUUAAACUUCAUCUCAUAUUCUUAUGUUUUAUAACAUGCUGAACAUUUUUCUCUUCUAUGACAACAUCAAAUUAUCACUCUAACAUGUACUUGUGAACAUUAGGUAUUUUACCGAUUUUGGAGUUUUACUCGUUUUCGCUUAAAAUCGACUAGCAAAAAUUGUUUAACAUAAUUUAUAGCUUCAUAUUCUACCUUAAAACAUCAAAAUAAACACUUUUAACCUAUGAGUAUUUUUCCAAAUAUAAACCCUAGGUUAAAUUAUUGCUAGAAUAAGCUAAAUUAAGCUACCGGGAUCUCAAAAACGUAAAGAACAUUAAAAACGGGGCUUGGAAUAACUUACUAUGGAGAUUGGAACCUUGAAAACCCUAAAUAUGGCUUCCCCCUUGCUGAUUUCGUUCACCA